UGAUCUGUGGGAGGGGCGGAGCCACUGCAAACCCUCCGAAGCUGAGUCUGAGCCCGUGUGUGCUGGAGCUGCCUUGCCUGCCGUCACCCAUAGUCCCCCACUCAGCUUUGCCUCCAGAACUGUUCAGAAUCUGAGCAGUCUCCCAUCACUGCCUUUAUCACCGCACAAACACUCACUUUCCCAAGUUCCUCAGCUGUAUCCUGCUGACCUCCCUGCCUCCACCUCACCCUUCUGCCCACACAGCCCUAGCAAAACACAUCAUAGGGCUCCCCUGGUGUACAACCAGUCUAUAUAAAGGAAAAGUUUGUCUCUACAUUAGGCAAAAGGCCCUGCCCAGUCAGCCCUGGGUGUAGCUCUCUCCUUCCACUUCCCCUUCAUGCUCCAAAAAGCCUCCUUAUAGUUUAUCCAACCUGCUCUACAGUCACCGGCCUCAGGACCUUUGCACUUGUUGUUUCCUGCACCUAGAGCAGCUACCCCUCUCAUAUGCAUAGAUUCCCUCUUUUUAUUACUUCCUCAGGUCUCAGUUCAAAUAUUGCCUCAUUUACCUGCCUCCCGCUCCCCUGGCUCCUGUUUCUGCUUAUCAUUUGUCACUAUCUGUGACGGAAUUUAGUAUCUGCCCUUGACCCCAGCCAUGAGCGUGACAAAGAGUCAACCGGGAUUUGUUUUGACACCUACGAGCCUGGCCUAUGUCAGGUCUUCCAUACAGUCCGUUCCUCCAACCCCAGCCCACUGCCCUCCUGCUUGGACAGAUCUGUGUGCCUUCUGGCUGCUGCCAAGUGAGCUUCACCAUUAGCAGCGGGCAGGGCUGCUGGAUGUGAAGACUGGGCCCAAGCCGGCCCUAGGCUUUAUCACCGUCAGGGCCCAGCAUCUCCAUCCCCUACCCAGCUCAGUCCCUCCCAUGACGGCCCAGGCCUCACGUGGCCGUUGUCAUCCAGGAGGUUGUUGGUCAGCUUGAGCUUGUCGAAGGACACGAUCUGGCGCAUCCACUGGGCACCCUUGGCCGGUCCUGUCUUGCUAUGCAGUCUGGACAUAAUCUGGCCAAAAGCUUUGACACCCUCCAGACCAUAAUCAGAAUCAAGAUGGCUGCUUAGAAAAGAAAAGAAGGGGGAGAAGAAUUAACAAGUGGUGAAGACGUGGAGAAACUGGAACCCUCAUUGUGCUGUCGGUGAAAAUGCAAAAGGGAACAACCACUGUGGAAGCCGUGGCACAGCUCCGGCACGUCUUGGUACCCCAUAAGUGCACCUGAGAGACUACCAGCCCUUCUGAGACCACAGCCUGGGGAACCCCUGCCUCACCCUCCUGCCCCAUCUCCAUCAGCUCUGCCCCACCCACCCUGGAGUCUGAGCUCAUCCUGAAGCCGCCUGUGCUGUCCAGACCAUACCUGCCAUGGGGACAAUCUGGAUAUCCACCUCCUGGAGAAAACCUCUCAGCUGGGCCAGGGUACAGCUGCCACUCGAGCCCCGCCUGCCAGGAGGGAUGGUCAGAGGCUCUUGGUCUGCUUGUCUGCAGCACCUCAGCUCAGUCCCAGGCAAGCACGGUUGAUCCUUGGUCUCUGCAGCACUGUGCUUCCCUCCUUGAUUGCCCUCUGUCCACGUCCCCUGGCUAAGGUUCUCCCAGCUGAGUUGGGCACCUGAUCUUCACAGAUGAGCUCCCGGCUCUGGAGUGUGCUGGACUCUUCUCCAAGCCACCUUCAGACUGCAGUGUCUGAGGCUGGGCCACCAACUGGGGCGGACCCAUGUGGGAGGGGGCAGGUGGGAAGGUUCUGACGUGGCAAGGCGCCCCCCUUCCUAGUCUCCCUUCCCAGCUUCCUCUCUUCCCAGCUGAGAGCCCCCCAGCUAUUCCUGAUCAAUGGGCCCAGGCACAGGUGGAGGCGGGGUCCCCAUCUUAAGGAUGGCUGGGUGUCCACAGGGGCCCAGGCCUGGUUGGCUGGAGGGGCUGGGGCUGACGAGGCCUUAGGGAGAUUGGGAAGCAGCAAUAGUGUCGGCGGAUGAGAACUGAAUGGCAGAGGUGGUGCCCUCCCUUUAAGAUCCAGACCCCCAGACCGGGCUUGCCAUCGGGGCCUGUGGGUGUGGUGGGGGAGGGAAGGGGUAUGGAAACACAGAGCCAGCGACACCAAGAGCAGAUCAUGGAGCCCCAAUCCAGGUGGGAAGGAAUUCAGCCCUCCUGACAGCUCAGCCCCAUGAACAGGGAAACAAUGGCUGG